AAAUGCAAGUGAGAGGGGUUUUGGUUGAAUGAGGUUUGUUAUGUGAUGUUUGAUGCCAUUGUGUUUUGGACAGGGAAAAUCAAAUGCAAAAUAGCAGGGUCAGUGAGCAGAAUGGAUUUCCAUAUGCCAAUGUAUUUUUUGAUGGAUGCUGUUGUCUACAAGUGGCAGGAAAAAUGAUGCAGGAUGUUGGAAAACAAAUUGCAAGGCUUAGUAGCUUUAAUGUUUUGGACUGAAGGUUUUAAAAUGCAAAAUGGCAGGGUGA
rnacentral:lncRNA from 1 species